AAUAGAUACCCCGGUAGUCCACGCCGUAAACGAUGAGUGCUAAGUGUUAGAGGGUUUCCGCCCUUUAGUGCUGCAGCUAACGCAUUAAGCACUCCGCCUGGGGAGUACGGCCGCAAGGCUGAAACUCAAAGGAAUUGACGGGGGCCCGCACAAGCGGUGGAGCAUGUGGUUUAAUUCGAAGCAACGCGAAGAACCUUACCAGGUCUUGACAUCCUCUGCCAACCCUAGAGAUAGGGCGUUCCCCUUCGGGGGACAGAGUGACAGGUGGUGCAUGGUUGUCGUCAGCUCGUGUCGUGAGAUGUUGGGUUAAGUCCCGCAACGAGCACAACCCUUGAUCUUAGUUGCCAGCAUUCAGUUGGGCACUCUAAGGUGACUGCCGGUGACAAACCGGAGGAAGGUGGGGAUGACGUCAAAUCAUCAUGCCCCUUAUGACCUGGGCUACACACGUGCUACAAUGGAUGGUACAAAGAGCUGCGAACCCGCGAGGGUAAGCCAAUCUCAUAAAGCCAUUCUCAGUUCGGAUUGUAGG
rnacentral:rRNA from 1 species